CCCAGGGAAGGGGGAGAUCGAUCGAAACGAUGGCAAACGCAUAUGCGUGGAGGGCUCCCCACCUUGUUCAACACCCUGCCCGCCCGUGCAGUAACCUCUUCCUCUUUCAACAUCCGCCAACUCAUCCUCCUGUCCGCUGCAAUGCCUGUGAUUUUCCCAUCACUAGCGGCUUCCGCUACAACUGCGGCUCUUACAACCUCCACCCGUACUGCGCGGGCAUUGGCCCCUAUCUCUACAUUCAACACCCUCACCUCCCUGGCCCCCUCACCUCUUCACCCUCAUCUUCUCCCCUCCCUAUCCGAAUGGGCAAUUCACCUGCGACAUCUGCAAUUAUCCGGGUGGCUCUCACUGGCUCUACCGCUGCACCGUCUGCAAUGGCUUCGACGCUCAUUUAGGUUGUGCGAUCAAGGCGGCGCAGUUCCAGUUUCACCCAGCUCCAUAUUGCCCGCCACUGGCUCCUGUCUAUCCACCUUAUAAUGGUGGUGGUGGUGGUACCGCAUACGCCUCAACUCCCUCAUCCGAUCGCUGGAUAAAAAUCGGCAACUGUAAUUGGGUUGUGGGGCGGCUAGGAGGUCUGGGUACUACAGCUAGCCUGAUUAACAUUGGCUCAACUCUCAUUGAAACACUGAAUCAGCUGUCGGGCGGCGGAAGUAUCUUGAGUUUCUGAAUAGCAGAUGGAAUAUACAGCGAUCCUCAUCGACUAAGUUCUGCGGCUUCACUCGAGUCCGUAGCCAUAUGUGCGUGGCCUUUUCAUGAUGUGUAACCUCUUUAAGACUUUCUCGUUGGUUUGGUUUACUUGGCCUGUUGAAUUUUAUUAGAACUUUCAAGUUUGCUUGAAUCCUUGCUUCUAAAUAAAUCCUAUUAAAAUAUUUCAAAUAAAACAAAUUUAAAAUUCAUAUGUA